rnacentral:rRNA from 1 species
UACGUAGGGGCUAGCGUUGUCCGGAAUCAUUGGGCGUAAAGAGCGUGUAGGCGGUCCGGUAAGUCCGCUGUGAAAGUCGGGGCUCAACCCUCGAAUGCCGGUGGAUACUGUCGGGCUAGAGUGCGGAAGAGGCGAGUGGAAUUCCUGGUGUAGCGGUGAAAUGCGCAGAUAUCAGGAGGAACACCGAUGGCGAAGGCAGCUCGCUGGGACGUGACUGACUGACGCUGGAGGCGACGAAAGCGU